rnacentral:rRNA from 1 species
CCUACGGGAGGCAGCAGUAGGGAAUCUUCCGCAAUGGACGAAAGUCUGACGGAGCAACGCCGCGUGAACGAUGAAGGCCUUCGGGUCGUAAAGUUCUGUUGUUAGGGAAGAACAAGUGCUAGUUGAAUAAGCUGGCACCUUGACGGUACCUAACCAGAAAGCCACGGCUAACUACGUGCCAGCAGCCGCGGUAAUACGUAGGUGGCAAGCGUUGUCCGGAAUUAUUGGGCGUAAAGCGCGCGCAGGCGGUUUCUUAAGUCUGAUGUGAAAGCCCCCGGCUCAACCGGGGAGGGUCAUUGGAAACUGGGAAACUUGAGUGCAGAAGAGGAAAGUGGAAUUCCAAGUGUAGCGGUGAAAUGCGUAGAGAUUUGGAGGAACACCAGUGGCGAAGGCGACUUUCUGGUCUGUAACUGACGCUGAGGCGCGAAAGCGUGGGGAGCAAGCAGGAUUAGAUACCCUGGUAGUCCACGCUGUAAACGAUGGGUGCUAAGUGUUAGAGGGUUUCCGCCUUUAGUGCUGAAGUUAACGNNUNGNCNCGCGNGGNGUAGUCGNGAGAGUGAGUANAAGAGUAGUUGNGNGNGAGNGNGACGAGACGACGAGAGGAG